UGAAACAGCCGGAACUAAACUUAUUUCAAGGCCCUGUGAUCCUCCUUGGAAAGACUGCUGCCCUCAGACUUUGGCUCUGAAUUGCACAAUGAAAAGCCUAGAAACUGCAGCCCUGUUUUGCCAGUGCUUCUGGGUAUUUAACAGUUCUUUCAUCAAGGAGAUAUGACAGCUUUCUUAUCAAAUCAGCUCACUAAAAAAAAAAAAAAAAAAAAAAAAAAAAAAAAAAACAAGAGGAAGGGGAAGGAAAAGCUCUCAGCUCACACAGCAUGAAACUCAUUAUUCCUUUCAUUGGAGACAGGCAAGAUUUUUAAUCCGUUUCUCACAAGUGAGUCCGAGUUCAGUAAACCUGGGAUCCCCUUCCACUGACAGAGAAGUAGCUAAUCAAAAGCUGGUUUACAACAGAACCUGAAGGUUCAUUUUUUCCUGGGUUCUGUGGAAUCAAGAUGGCUCUGCUUACUGUGAAUGCCUUCUGCUUGGGACUGGAAAUGUGAGGCCUUUUCCCAGUCAAGAAGCUUGACAGGUGCAUCCAUCUGGAGAAAGAGCCACCUAAAUGCAGGUCCUGUAGUUCUGUAUUCUUUUUGGAUUCACCUUUCAUCCCAAGAUGAUCCUGAAGUGAAAGGUUUUGGAUUGGAUCUUGUGGGCACCGAGCUAUCUACCAUAUUAUCUGCACUCAGCAUCCAGGUGGGCUGGCGGUUUCGCUAUCGGAGCCCUGUGAGUUGUGGCAAACGGGCAAAUCCAAACAACAAAACUUUCGGCUGCGCUCUGACAGGAUUUUCUGUGAAAACCCACCCUUCGGCCUGCCUUAUCCUCUCCUUGAAACAUGUGGGGUGUGAGAUGGUGUGGGAAAGGCGGAAAAAAUAUAUACAUAUGUCAGUACCUGAGGCCAGCAUCUUGGCAUUGGUGCCAUGGGGGCCCGGAGAGACAGUUGAGCCCCGAGUGACAGUUGAAACACCUGUUGCUGUCUGUAACGGCCACGCCCGGGGCGGGCUUCUCCACACCGCCGGCCCCAGAUUUUAA
rnacentral:lncRNA from 1 species